GGCGCAACCCUGAUGCAGCCAUGCCGCGUGUAUGAAGAAGGCCUUCGGGUUGUAAAGUACUUGCAGCAGUGAGGAAGGGGGUAUCGUUAAUAGCGGUAUCUUUUGACGUUAGCUGCAGAAGAAGCACCGGCUAACUCCGUGCCAGCAGCCGCGGUAAUACGGAGGGUGCGAGCGUUAAUCGGAAUUACUGGGCGUAAAGCGCAUGCAGGUGGUUUGUUAAGUCAGAUGUGAAAGCCCGGGGCUCAACCUCGGAAUUGCAUUUGAAACUGGCAGGCUAGAGUACUGUAGAGGGGGGUAGAAUUUCAGGUGUAGCGGUGAAAUGCGUAGAGAUCUGAAGGAAUACCGGUGGCGAAGGCGGCCCCCUGGACAGAUACUGACACUCAGAUGCGAAAGCGUGGGGAGCAAACAGGAUUAGAUACCCUGGUAGUCCACGCCGUAAACGAUGUCUACUUGGAGGUUGUGGCCUUGAGCC
rnacentral:rRNA from 1 species